rfam:Eubacterium dolichum DSM 3991 E_dolichum-3.0.1_Cont632, whole genome shotgun sequence.
UCCAUCGUGAGGUGGAAUCUGAAGGAAGAUGGAGGCAAAACUCCGGUCUGAGGAAUACGAAUCACAUCAGGCAUAUCAUGGGGACAAGUGUGCAAAACAACACAAAAUCCAAAAGAGUUGCGGAUAAGACUAUGAUAUGUAAAUGUGGCAGAUAUAUGGAGGGAAAGAGGUAUGAUC